CUCCCGCGCUUGCGCACUGGCUCCGCGUCGGCCGGUCGGUUUGGUCGGUUGUAGUGGCCUAGCCGCCCCGUCCGCUGUCGCCCCGCUCAUCCGCGCCGGGAGCCCUUGGCUACGUCGCCCGGCAGCCGCGGGAGCAUUUCCUGAAGACGUAGUCAUGCAGCACGUCAGCAGCUCCCAGAGCAGCCAGCGCCAUGUCCAGUGGCCUGGGGCCUGCCCCAGCAUGGGCGAGGAGCAGCCAGCGUGCUCCCAGCCGUCCCUGCCCCUCACACUGCCAUCCCCCAGCCACCAACUACAGCAGCUGAUGGAUGGGUCAGGGCUCACCCAGAUCGCCCAGGGAGCCCAGGUUCAGCUCCAGCACCCGGGUACGCCCAUCACAGUCCAAGAGCGGAGACCCUCCCAGCCCCACACACAGUCAGGGGGCACCAUCCAUCACCUGGGACCCCAGAGCCCUGCAGCCGCGGGUGGGGCCGGCCUGCAGCCCCUGGCCAGCCCAAGCCACAUCACCACGGCUAACUUGCCACCGCAGAUCAGCAGCAUCAUCCAGGGCCAGCUGGUUCAGCAGCAGCAGGUGCUGCAGGGGCCGCCGCUGCCCCGGCCCCUGGGCUUCGAGAGGACGCCCGGCGUGCUGCUCCCCGGGGCUGGGGGCGCAGCGGGGUUUGGGAUGACGUCCCCACCCCCGCCCACCAGCCCUUCCAGGACUGCCGUGCCCCCAGGCCUUUCCAGCCUCCCACUCACGUCUGUGGGGAACGCGGGAAUGAAGAAGGCUCCCAAGAAGUUAGAGGAGAUUCCCCCAGCCUCUCCGGAGAUGGCACAGAUGAGGAAGCAGUGCCUGGACUAUCACUACCAGGAGAUGCAGGCUCUGAAGGAGGUCUUCAAGGAGUAUUUGAUUGAACUGUUUUUCUUGCAACACUUUCAAGGGAACAUGAUGGAUUUCUUAGCUUUCAAGAAGAAACAUUAUGCCCCAUUACAAGCAUAUCUUAGGCAGAAUGAUUUGGACAUUGAAGAAGAGGAAGAGGAGCACUUUGAAGUCAUUAAUGAUGAGGUAAAGGUUGUGGCCAGAAAGCACGGGCAGCCUGGGACUCCUGUUGCCAUAGCAACCCAGCUACCGCCGAGGACUUCUGCGGCUUUUCCAGCCCAGCAGCAGCCGCUCCAGCCCCGGCACCCACCACUGUACUGUCUGUCUCUGCGGAUUGGAAUGCACUUCUCCAGCGACCUAAGCCGAGUCAUAUGCCACAGGAUGGGUGGACCGCAUGUGUUGAUCCAGCUCUUGGUGGACACUUGGGUUGCUUCCACAUUUCAGCUACUGGGAACAGCACUGCCCUGAUGAUGGGCGCACAGAUAUCUCUUCAAGGUCCUGCUUUCAGUUCUCUUGGGCAUAUACCCAGAGUGGAAGUGCUGGGUCACGCACUAACUCUGUGUUUAACUGUUUAGGAAAGUCCAUGCCAUUUUCAUAGUAGCUGCACCAUUUUACAUCCCACCAGCAAGAACGAGGUUUUCUUUCUCCACAUCCUUGUCAAUGCUUGUACAUUUUUUUAAUAGUGGCCACCCUAAUAGGUGUGCUGUAUGCUUUAUAAUGUAAUAGAAAAAUAUUACUGACUAUGCAUGUACAUAUGGCUAAAGACAUUCAGCGUUGGCCGGGCACGGUGGCUCACACCUGUAAUCUCAGCACUUUGGGAGGCCGAGGCAGGCAGAUCACCUGAUGUCAGGAGUUUGAGAUCAGCCUGGCCAACAUGGUGAAACCCCAUCUCUACUAAAAAUGCAAAGAUUAGCCGGGCUUGGUGGCGGGCACCUGUAAUCCCAGCUACUUGGGAGGCUGAGGCAGGAGACUCGCUUGAACCCAGGAGGCGGAGGUUGCAGUGAGCCAAGAUUGCGCCACUGCACUCCAGCCUGGGCAACGAGAGCGAGACUCCAUCUCAAAAAAAAAAAAAAAAGGACAUUUAGAGUUUUAUUCUGUUAAUCAGCUGGCACUGUUGAUGGUUCAGAAUUGACUAGUGAGGGAGGUAGCAUUUGAAAAAACAACUUUAACUCAGAGUAACAAAUGGCAUUGGUGACAUAUGCAGAAUCCCACAGGAAGAGUGUGGAGGGAUGCACGGGCUCCUGGGAGCAGGAUGCAGGCUGUGGGGUGGCCCAGUGUGCUGUACCUGUAGCCGGCAGGGCUGGCGCCUCUGGCCUGGCCCCAGCAAGCGCAAGGACCCAGACAGAACACAGGGCUGCUCUACCCUACUCUUCUCAUGUCAUGUUCUUAAUGUUGAGAACACAGGUUGAGUUCAGUGUGAUUCUCCAAACAAACUGGCUGUGGGUAGUGUCAAUUUUCUUUUCUCCAAUUUCUUUAUUUAUAUAUUCUUUUGAGACAGAGUCUCCCUCUCUCACCCAGGCUGUAGCGUAGUGGUGUGAUCUCGGCUCACUGCAAUCUCCACCUCCCGGGUUCAAGCAAUUCUCAUGUCUCAGCCUCCUGAGUAGCUGAGAUUAUAGCAAAUACAUAUGGGGACUCCAGUACCUGGAGAUGUGAAUUCCAUAAAAAUGGAAGCAUCUAAGAGGCAGUGAACACUGG